rnacentral:rRNA from 1 species
CCCGCCUGCCCUGUGACCAAAAGUUUAACGGCCGCGGUACUUUGACCGUGCGAAGGUAGCGCAAUCACUUGUCUUUUAAAUGGAGACCUGUAUGAAUGGCAUAACGAGGGCUAAGCUGUCUCCUUUCUCCAGUCAAUGAAAUUGAUCUGCCCGUGCAGAAGCGGGCAUAUAAACAUAAGACGAGAAGACCCUAUGGAGCUUUAGACACCAGAACAGCCUGCAUAAAUUAACCUUAGCAAAAAGAUCAAACCAAACAACCCCUGUUCCCCUGUCUUCGGUUGGGGCGACCGCGGGGGAACAAAAAUCCCCCACGUGGAAUAGGAACAACCUCCUUAAAAAUAGGGCUACAGCCCUAAUAAACAGAAAAUCUGACCAACAAUGACCCGGCAAAGCCGAUCAACGGACCCAGUUACCCUAGGGAUAACAGCGCAAUCCUCUUUUAGAGCCCAUAUCGACAAGAGGGUUUACGACCUCGAUGUUGGAUCAGGACAUCCUAAUGGUGCAGCCGCUAUUAAGGGUUCGUUUGUUCAACGAUUAACAGUCCUACGUGAUUAG